rnacentral:rRNA from 1 species
GACGAACGCUGGCGGCGUGCUUAAUACAUGCAAGUCGAGCGAAUGGAUUAAGAGCUUGCUCUUAUGAAGUUAGCGGCGGACGGGUGAGUAACACGUGGGUAACCUGCCCAUAAGACUGGGAUAACUCCGGGAAACCGGGGCUAAUACCGGAUAAUAUUUUGAACUGCAUGGUUCAAAAUUGAAAGGCGGCUUCGGCUGUCACUUAUGGAUGGACCCGCGUCGCAUUAGCUAGUUGGUGAGGUAACGGCUCACCAAGGCAACGAUGCGUAGCCGACCUGAGAGGGUGAUCGGCCACACUGGGACUGAGACACGGCCCAGACUCCUACGGGGGGCAGCAGUAGGGAAUCUUCCGCAAUGGACGAAAGUCUGACGGAGCAACGCCGCGUGAGUGAUGAAGGCUUUCGGGUCGUAAAACUCUGUUGUUAGGGAAGAACAAGUGCUAGUUGAAUAAGCUGGCACCUUGACGGUACCUAACCAGAAAGCCACGGCUAACUACGUGCCAGCCGCCGCCGUAA